rnacentral:rRNA from 1 species
UACGUAGGGGGCGAGCGUUGCCCGGAUUUACUGGGCGUAAAGGGCGCGUAGGCGGGAUGGCAAGUCGGUCGUGAAAUCCUUCGGCUCAACCGAAGAACGUCGAUCGAUACUGCUGUUCUUGAGGGUUGCAGAGGAGACUGGAAUUCCCGGUGUAGCGGUGAAAUGUGUAGAGAUCGGGAGGAACACCGGUGGCGAAGGCGGGUCUCUGGGCAAUUCCUGACGCUGAGGCGCGAAAGCGUGGGGAGCAAACGGG